rnacentral:misc_RNA from 1 species
UCCGAGUUGACCCCGGCAGUCUCCUGCGAGUCCCCGCCAUUACGCGCUGGCAACACAGGACAAGGGUUGCGCUCGUUGCGGGACUUAACCCAACAUCUCACGACACGAGCUGACGACAGCCAUGCAUCACCUGUAUACCGACCACAAGGGGGGCCGUAUCUCUACGGCUUUCCGGUAUAUGUCAAACCCAGGUAAGGUUCUUCGCGUUGCAUCGAAUUAAGCCACAUGCUCCGCUGCUUGUGCGGAGCAUGUGGAU